rnacentral:rRNA from 1 species
UACGUAGGGUGCGAGCGUUGUCCGGAAUUAUUGGGCGUAAAGGGCUCGUAGGCGGUUUGUCGCGUCGGGAGUGAAAUCAUCUGGCUUAACUGGGUGCUUGCUUUCGAUACGGGCAGACUAGAGGUAUGCGGGGAGAACGGAAUUCCUGGUGUAGCGGUGAAAUGCGCAGAUAUCAGGAGGAACACCGGUGGCGAAGGCGGUUCUCUGGGCAUGACCUGACGCUGAGGAGCGAAAGUGUGGGGAGCGAACAGG